CCUACGGGUGGCUGCAGUCGAGAAUCUUCCGCAAUGGACGCAAGUCUGACGGGGCGACGCCGCGUGUAGGAUGAAGGCCUUCGGGUUGUAAACUACUGUUGCAUUUUAGGAACACCGAGGGGUGAAUAGCCCUCUUGGGUGACCAUGAUGUGAGGAAGCACAGGCUAACACCGUGCCAGCAGCCGCGGUAAUACGGUGUGUGCAAGCGUUACUCGGAAUCACUGGGCAUAAAGAGCACGUAGGCUGGCUCGCAAGUCGGAUGUGAAAUCCCCCAGCUCAACUGGGGAACUGCAUCCGAUACUGCGGGUCUUGAGGACGAAAGGGGAGAGUGGAACUUCUGGUGGAGCGGUGAAAUGCGUAGAUAUCAGAAGGAACACCGGUGGCGAAGGCGACUCUCUGGUUCGUUUCUGACGCUGAGGUGCGAAAGCGUGGGUAGCAAACGGGAUUAGAUACCCUAGUAGUC
rnacentral:rRNA from 1 species